UAUUUUUAAUUGACAUAGACCAAGUCCUCUA
rnacentral:tRNA from 1 species